GUUAAAAGCAUGAUUUCAAAUCGGAAGAACUCUGGCUAUUGAAAGAUUGUAGUCGUGGCUCGAACGCCAACCUGGUUGUUGUUCCGUGCUCCUCUUUCAGCAAUUUAUAAGAGAUUAUGUGUGAAGUUCAUUGAUAUUCAAAUUGUCGCCUAUUUUAUCUUGUUCAAUAAUGAUGACGUUCAUUAGUUUCAGAGGAAUCCGAAUUUUUGUGGCUCGUCGGAAAUCAUCUAUUUUGCUAUGCAUUGGACUAUUUUUCUUUUUCUUUUUGAUCCACGAAAAUACAAGCGGAAAAUCAUCAAACACUAAAACAACCAAGUACAAUUUACUGGAAGAGACUAAACAGUCUCAGCACGUUAAGGAAUGCACUCUAGAAUAUGCCAACACCCAUCGGUUGCAGCAAGACCAUCCAUGUGUACUGGACCUUAUUCGAAAGAGGUAUCUGAAAAAGCCUUGGGGACCAGAAAUCCCACUAGAUUUACACAAUCCACAAACAGCCGAUCCAUCUGCUGGCCAAGCCAAAGCAGUUAUGAGAAUAUUACGCAACCAAAAGAAUGGCUUCUUUGUGGAAUGUGGUGCCUCCGAUGGGGAAUUCUUGUCCAAUACGCUUUACAUGGAACGAUACAAAAAUUGGACAGGACUCUUGAUCGAACCGGACCGUGGAUCUUACGAUUCUCCUGUUGACCCGUAAAAGAAAAGCAACGCAUGUUCCUGCUUGUCUCAGUUUGGAAACUUACCCCACUGAAGUCUCUUUCAAAUCGGUUUUCCAAGUCGGAAGCAUCCAAGAAAAGUCUUCCUGGUUUGGAAACGAUCAACUGAUAACCGUACAAUGUUUUCCGUUCUAUUCGUUUCUUCUGGCCUACGGGCGGACUUCUGUGGAUUUUUUCAGCCUCGAUAUCGAAGGCCAUGAGCUUAAAGUACUCAAAACGAUCCCGUGGCACAAGGUCGAUAUUAAGACGAUAGUGGUUGAGUGGGAACACGUAGACGAAGGUGAGGAAGCUAUAGUGAAAUUCAUGGAAGAAAGCGGAUUUGUCAAUUUUGGCAAAAUUGCAACACCCUAUGCUCGUGAUAUUGUUUUCGUCAAAGACUUCCUGAGCGAUUUGCGAUACGACUAUGACGACUGAGUAUUACGCAACCGAAUGUUAUGUUUGGGCAACAGUUGGACGCGAAUACAAAUUGGAAUUACUGCCAACUAUUUGUAAAGUUCAUUAACGCCGUUCCGAAUGCCACCUCGUCCUUCUUUAGAGCUAAUUUCCCCCUUUAAAAAACUAUAUGGUCGUAUAUUGUAGAUGUCUUUGAACACUUAAAUUCCAUCGCAUCGAUGGUUCAGUGGUAGAAUGCUCGCCUGCCAAACAGUUAAGCAGAACGCGGGCGGCCCGGGUUCGAUUCCCGGUCGAUGCAUAAUAUUUUUCCCCUUGCCUGUUUUGUAUGAAUAAAAUCCCAUUUGAUGCUCGUAAAUAAAUUUUUACUGGGAAUAU